rnacentral:rRNA from 1 species
AACGAACGCUGGCGGCAGGCUUAACACAUGCAAGUCGAACGCUCGUAGCAAUACGGGAGUGGCGGACGGGUGAGUAACGCGUGGGAACGUGCCCUGAGGUACGGAAUAACUGCGGGAAACUGCAGCUAAUACCGUAUGAGCCCCGUGAGGGGGAAAGAUUUAUCGCCUUAGGAGCGGCCCGCGUCGGAUUAGCUAGUUGGUGGGGUAACGGCUUACCAAGGCUUCGAUCCGUAGCUGGUCUGAGAGGACGAUCAGCCACACUGGGACUGAGACACGGCCCAGACUCCUACGGGAGGCAGCAGUGGGGAAUCUUGCGCAAUGGGGGCAACCCUGACGCAGCCAUGCCGCGUGAAUGAUGAAGGCCCUAGGGUUGUAAAGUUCUUUUGCCCGUGACGAUGAUGACGGUAACGGGAGAAUAAGCUCCGGCUAACUUCGUG